rnacentral:rRNA from 1 species
GGGUGAGUAACACGUGAGUAACCUGCCCCCGAGAGCGGGAUAGCCCUGGGAAACUGGGAUUAAUACCGCAUAGUAUCGAAAGAUUAAAGCAGCAAUGCGCUUGGGGAUGGGCUCGCGGCCUAUUAGUUAGUUGGUGAGGUAACGGCUCACCAAGGCGAUGACGGGUAGCCGGUCUGAGAGGAUGUCCGGCCACACUGGAACUGAGACACGGUCCAGACACCUACGGGUGGCAGCAGUCGAGAAUCAUUCACAAUGGGGGAAACCCUGAUGGUGCGACGCCGCGUGGGGGAAUGAAGGUCUUCGGAUUGUAAACCCCUGUCAUGUGGGAGCAAAUUAAAAAGAUAGUACCACAAGAGGAAGAGACGGCUAACUCUGUGCCAGCAGCCGCGGUAAUACAGAGGUCUCAAGCGUUGUUCGGAAUCACUGGGCGUAAAGCGUGCGUAGGCUGUUUCGUAAGUCGUGUGUGAAAGGCGCGGGCUCAACCCGCGGACGGCACAUGAUACUGCGAGACUAGAGUAAUGGAGGGGGAACCGGAAUUCUCGGUGUAGCAGUGAAAUGCGUAGAUAUCGAGAGGAACACUCGUGGCGAAGGC